GUUCUACAUCUGCCAUGCUGAAGAUGGCAGUGGCACGCCUGAGCGCUUAAAAGUUAAUCUUGAUUGUGAGCCUCAAUGCCUACACCUAAGGCCUCACAAGGGCACCUUUCAAAGUUAACUCUGUCCUUCUCUUUCAGCCUUUCCCGACAAGCUUUGCCCGACAAGCCCGCCAGUAAAGCAGAAGCCCGACAUAAAGCAUCAACCGGCGCUAACCUCUCGGGGAGUUGUGUGUUUGUCGGACAGGAAGCAUUCCCCACGGAAAUUCCCGCCACGAACAGGAUGCAUGACCUUUUUUCCAUAAAAAUGGAACUAAAAUACAAGAUUUAAAAUUUAACGGUUAAAUAUCCGGAGUAUCAAGCUCCCAAAGCAUUAUAAAAAAUUUCUAGAACUAAUGAUGCAAGAGCAACCUUUAAGUACUGUAGGCAAUAUUGUGUUAGGAAGAUUUAAAAUUUAAUUAACAAUUGCAUAUGCAUACUCAUGAAAAUAGUUCAUGCAGUAAUUAUUAAGACCAUGCCAGCUUCUUUGUAAGUAUCAUUUAACCUAAACACCUUCAGCACGGCCUCUGCAAAAUGUGAAAUUAGUUGGAACAAGGUUUUGUAGGUGAACAUGUUGAAGUAUCAUUGAUGAACUUGUCUAGUAGAACAACCCGAGAAACAGUUUCAAGGUUGGGACUUAGGGGGCCUCCAAGCUUGUCGUCCUUGUAUGUGAAGCCAAUGGUUUGGGAGUGCAACGAGACUACCCCUAAAGCCAAUGGUUUGGGACUGCAAUGUCAAAGAAUUAGCUGCUACAGGAACAUCUAGAGAAAAUACACUUCUUUCCAAAUUUCGAAAUAAUUCUUUCCUAAACAAGAAUGUAGCUCCCUCCUUGGAAUAAUCCAAAUUUUGUGGGCAUUGAUGCAUGAAAUCAUACAGAACCUUACCUUUAAGGUUGCUUUUUGUUCUCUUGCAGCAUCAAUUCUGCAAAUCUUCAUCAUAAGAAUUAAGAAUCCCAUUUUCUUUUAGAAAUUAUUUAAAUUAAGGCAGCAACCGCACUAUAUAGCUGCUGAUGACUUAACAGAAUGUCUCUGCUCUAGAGGAAAGUUUCUCG
rnacentral:lncRNA from 1 species